GAUGAACGCUGGCGGCGUGCCUAAUACAUGCAAGUCGAGCGAAUGGAUUAAGAGCUUGCCCUUAUGAAGUUAGCGGCGGACGGGUGAGUAACACGUGGGUAACCUGCCCAUAAGGCUGGGAUAACUCCGGGAAACCGGGGCUAAUACCGGAUAACAUUUUGAACCGCAUGGUUCGAAAUUGAAAGGCGGCUUCGGCUGUCACUUAUGGAUGGACCCGCGUCGCAUUAGCUAGUUGGUGAGGUCACGGAGCCCCAAGGCAACGAUGCGUAGCCGACCACUGCGGGGGACGUGCCCCCCUGGGACUGAGAGACGGCCCAGACUCCUACGGGAGGCAGCAGUAGGGAAUCUUCCGCAAUGGACGAAAGUCUGACGGAGCAACGCCGCGUGAGUGAUGAAGGCUUUCGGGUCGUAAAACUCUGUUGUUAGGGAAGAACAAGUGCUAGUUGAAUAAGCUGGCACCUUGACGGUACCUAACCAGAAAGCCACGGCUAACUACGUGCCAGCAGCCGCGGUAA
rnacentral:rRNA from 1 species